ACCUGACUGCUAUCGGAUUGAUACUAAGCCAUGCGAGUCAUUGUAGCAAUACAAGGCAGACGGCUCAGUAACACGUAGUCAAUCUAACCUAUGGACGGGGAUAACCUCGGGAAACUGAGAAUAAUACCCGAUAGGCCACCAUGCCUGGAAUGGUUUGUGGCCCAAAUGAUUUAUCGCCGUAGGAUGGGACUGCGGUCUAUCAGCUUGUUGGUGAGGUAAUGGCCCACCAAGGCUAUAACAGAUACGGGCUCUGAGAGGAGAGGCCCGGAGAUGGGUACUGAGACACGGACCCAGGCCCUAUGGGGCGCAGCAGGCGAGAAAACUUUGCAAUGUGCGAAAGCACGACAAGGUUAAUCCGAGUGUUUUCUGCUAAAGAAAUCUUUUACCGGUCUUAAAACCACCGGCGAAUAAGGGGUGGGCAAGUUCUGGUGUCAGCCGCCGCGGUAAAACCAGCACCUCAAGUGGUCAGGAGGAUUAUUGGGCCUAAAGCAUCCGUAGCCUGCCGUGUAAGUUUUCGGUUAAAUCUAUGCGCUCAACGCAUAGGCUGCCGGAAAUACUGCACGGCUAGGGAGUGGGAGAGGUAGACGGUACUCGGUAGGAAGGGGUAAAAUCCUCUGAUCUAUCGAUGACCCCCUGUGGCGAAGGCGGUCUACUAGAACACGUCCGACGGUGAGGGAUGAAAGCUGGGGGAGCAAACCGGAUUAGAUACCCGGGUAGUCCCAGCUGUAAACAAUGCAAACUCAGUGAUGCAUUGGCGUAAGAGCCAGUGCAGUGCCGCAGGGAAGCCGUUAAGUUUGCCGCCUGGGAAGUACGUACGCAAGUAUGAAACUUAAAGGAAUUGGCGGGGGAGCACCACAAGGGGUGAAGCCUGCGGUUC
rnacentral:rRNA from 2 species